UAGGGAAUCUUCGGCAAUGGACGGAAGUCUGACCGAGCAACGCCGCGUGAGUGAAGAAGGUUUUCGGAUCGUAAAGCUCUGUUGUAAGAGAAGAACGAGUGUGAGAGUGGAAAGUUCACACUGUGACGGUAUCUUACCAGAAAGGGACGGCUAACUACGUGCCAGCAGCCGCGGUAAUACGUAGGUCCCGAGCGUUGUCCGGAUUUAUUGGGCGUAAAGCGAGCGCAGGCGGUUAGAUAAGUCUGAAGUUAAAGGCUGUGGCUUAACCAUAGUACGCUUUGGAAACUGUUUAACUUGAGUGCAAGAGGGGAGAGUGGAAUUCCAUGUGUAGCGGUGAAAUGCGUAGAUAUAUGGAGGAACACCGGUGGCGAAAGCGGCUCCCUGGCUUGUAACUGACGCUGAGGCUCGAAAGCGUGGGGAGCAAACAGGAUUAGAUACCCUGGUAGUCCACGCCGUAACGAUGAGUGCUAGGUGUUAGACCCUUUCCGGGGUUUAGUGCCGCAGCUAACGCAUUAAGCACUCCGCCUGGGGAGUACGACCGCAAGGUU
rnacentral:rRNA from 1 species